rnacentral:rRNA from 1 species
UACGAAGGGGGCUAGCGUUGCUCGGAAUCACUGGGCGUAAAGGGUGCGUAGGCGGGUCUUUAAGUCAGGGGUGAAAUCCUGGAGCUCAACUCCAGAACUGCCUUUGAUACUGAAGAUCUUGAGUCCGGGAGAGGUGAGUGGAACUGCGAGUGUAGAGAUGAAAUUCGUAGAUAUUCGCAAGAACACCAGUGGCGAAGGCGGCUCACUGGCCCGGUACUGACGCUGAGGCACGAAAGCGUGGGGAGCAAACAGG